rfam:Aquitalea magnusonii strain SM6 contig_19, whole genome shotgun sequence.
UCCAAUGGCAGGCCAGGCGGGGAGACCUAUACGGUCUGCCGGUCAAUGGUGGUGCUUCCGGUUCGCCAACCCCGCUUUGGCCUGCCACCCGC